GGAGAGAUACCCAAGUGGUCGAAGGGGUCGGUUUGCUAAACCGAUAGUAGGAGCAAUCCUAGCGAGGGUUCAAAUCCCUCUCUCUCCGCCA
rnacentral:tRNA from 1 species